UAGGGCCCCGGGAGGUGCGGUGAUGAAGGCAGCGAGGCCGCCCGACGUAACCUGGCGCCAGCGCCGGGAGGAAGGGAGACAGGCAAGGAGGAGUGCCUGGAGGAGGUCCCGCCGCGGCCCAUUUUCCCUGUGGAGUUUGCACUUCCCGCCUCUGCCUCAACUUGGAAAGGCCUCCCCUAGGCUCUGCCCCUCCAGCGGUCGGAAGGCGGGGCUCAGGGCUAGGUGGGGCACCCGAAAGUCGCUCCCUAGCUUGCUUCCGCCAUCGAUUCGCGCAUCUCUAGGUCCAGUCCAGGAGCCGCUCUGCGAACCCUGGGUUUUGGCCUCUUUCCCUCCCACCCUUACCCCCCUGUCUCGAAGGAAGCGCUCGGGCGCGGACCUGAGACUCCUCCUGGGAGCCCUGCUCGCGGAGAUAAACAUCAGAACAAAGGAGGCACGCGGAGUGGGGGUUGGGAGAACCAGGGGCCCUCCGGGACCGCAGCCUCAGCACCGGGUCUCCAAGGAGGCGGUCGUCAUGGCAGCAGGAUGCAGGAUGUCUUGGCAGCAGGAUGCCCCUAGCUCAGCGCUGCAAGAGAGGAAGAGAGAGCUAGAAAUAUCAAUGAUGAGAAUCAUCCAUUGGAUGCUUCCUACAUGCCCCCUACUUGGGAUCAAGCCCAAAAUCCAGGCAUGUGCCCUGCCCAGGAAUUGAACUGUGAUCUACUGGUUCAAAGCUCGACCACUGAACCAUACUGGCCUUCUCACAUUAAUUUUACCUUCUGGAUCUGUGAAGAUAUUUGAUUUCAUAUACCUUCCUUAUGCUACCUUCACACCUGGAAUGCCCUUCCUACUCUCCUCUCAUGGGCCAAACUCAUCCUCCCUUCAAGAACAAGGGUGGUCCACAACAGACAUUUUUGCAUGAGAUUUGGAGGGUAGAAGAAAACAGUGGCUAUAUUGGUUUUUACACCUGCAAGGUCUGGAGCUCCUUGCCUAUCCACUUUGUUGCUGAUCUGCUGGCUCAUCUCACUGGCAGGGUAGCACCCAGGCCCAUAACUGCUCCACCUUGCCCUGGAUUCUCCUUCAGCCUCUCUGACUCCUGGGCCAGAGAGGAAAGGGCACCGACUUCUCCAGCACGACACCCAUAUCAUCAAAUUUGGAGGCAGUGGGAACUAAGCAUCUAACUCUCUCCCUUGCUGGAUGAUGAGGAAAUGAGGGCAGCCACCAGCCAACAACCAGCAAGAAACUGAAGCCCUUACUCGAACAGUCCACAAGAAACUGGACUCUGUCAACAACCAGAUGAACUUGGAAGUGAGUCCUUCCCCAGUCAAGCCUUCAGAUAAGACUACACCUCUGGUUAACAAUUUGAUUGCAGCCUGUGAGAAACCCUGAGGCAGAGGACCCAGCUAAGCCAUCCCUGGACUCUUGAGCAACAGAAAAUAUGAGAUAAUAAAUGCUGUUUUAAGCCUUUAGGUGUGUGGUGAUUUGUUACACAGUAACAGAU